rnacentral:lncRNA from 1 species
UAGAGCUGCUGGAGUUCCCACACUUCUGCGUGCUCCUCCAGGUAUGAAUCAGGAACAAUGGGCAUUGUGAAAAGAUAGGAAGAUGGAAGAAAAGAAACAAAGAAUAGAAGAAACCAGGGAGAGGACAAGGGUAGCAGAG